GCUGAGACCAAGGUGUCUUUAUUUAGAGACAGGGAGUCAAUGCUGAGACCAAGGUGUCUUUAUUUAGAGACAGGGAGUCAAUGCUGAGACCAAGGUGUCUUUAUUUAGAGACAGGGAGUCAAUGCUGAGACCAAGGUGUCUUUAUUUAGAGACAGGGAGUCAAUGCUGAGACCAAGGUGUCUUUAUUUAGAGACAGGGAGUCAAUGCUGAGACCAAGGUGUCUUUAUUUAGAGACAGGGAGUCAAUGUUGAGACCAAGGUGUCUUUAUUUAGAGACAGGGAGUCAAUGCUGAGACCAAGGUGUCUUUAUUUAGAGACAGGGAGUCAAUGCUGAGACCAAGGUGUCUUUAUUGAGACAGGGAGAGGUAGAGGUCAUGUGAUGUAAUUACACAGGCCGAUGCUGCAGGGAUGUAGAGGUCAUGUGAUGUAAUUACACAGGCCGAUGCUGCAGGGAUGUAAUGAGGUGAUGUAAUUACACAGGCCGAUGCUGCAGGGAUGUAGAGGUCAUGUGAUGUAAUUACACAGGCCGAUGCUGCAGGGAUGUAAUGAGGUGGUGUAAUUACACAGGCCGAUGCUGCAGGGAUGUAGAGGUCAUGUGAUGUAAUUACACAGGCCGAUGCUGCAGGGAUGUAGAGGUCAUUUGAAGCAGCCUUUCUUCCAUCGCGUGUUUGGAACAAUGACAAAGACAUCGGCAACUUUGUAUUCUGUCGUCAACUCCGCUCUGAAGUGACCUGGCGGGCACCGUCAGGCAGAGAUCAACAUCUUGAUGUAUGUUCAGUGAGAUCUGAGUUUACAGUGUAC
ensembl:lncRNA